UCCGGUGCUCAGUGGCUAGCCGAAUAGCCGUGUUUGGGACCUGGGCUCGGGCUUCUUGCGUCCCCGCUAAGAACAUGUCACGGGGCCGAAUCGUCCGUAUUCUCUCAGCUUCAAGCUCCUCUACUUUUCAACCAGGUCACUAGCCCUUGACUCCUCUUAUCAAACUUCCGGAACUGCCACCCCACCAGUGACUCCACAGGCACCAGGGCAUGCAACAGGGCUGGGACAGGAAGGCUCUCUUCUUCACCUCAAGCCUGCUGGGCUAACACUUGCGAUUUUUACUAGAGUUAACUUUGUAAUGUAUGUCUCUGACUCUAGAAUUUCAAGAGAAGUUCCACUUAGUGACUCCUAAGUGGAAGUUCUAAGAUGGCUUCCCAGUGAGGUGAUGAAGAGGUUUGAGCUUUAGAGUGCGGUUGCAAAGCUCUUCUCUGACCUGAACAAUGGCUGUAGCUGUGGACCAACAAAUCCAGACUCCUUCAGUACAAGAUCUCCAAAUAGUUAAACUGGAAGAAGAUUCCCACUGGGAGCAGGAAAUUUCCCUUCAAGGGAAUUACCCUGGACCAGAGACAUCCUGCCAGAGCUUUUGGCAUUUCCGUUACCAAGAAGCAUCACGACCCCGAGAGGCCCUCCUCCAGCUCCAGAAGCUCUGUUGUCAGUGGCUAAGGCCAGAGAAGUGUACAAAAGAGCAGAUCCUGGAGUUGCUGGUCCUAGAACAGUUCCCGACUGUCCUUCUCCAGGAGAUCCAGAUCUGGGUCAGACAGCAGCAUCCGGAGAGUGGAGAGGAGGCAGUGGCCCUGGUGGAAGACUUGCAGAAAGAACCUGGAAGACAGAGGCUGGAGCCUCGGGCGAGGCCGUCCGGCCGCACCCCUCCUGCUCAGCUGCGGUCGCCAUGGCCAAUGACAGCUGCGGGCCCGGCGAGCCGAGCUCGAGCGAGCGAGACCGGCAGUACUGCGAGCUGUGCGGGAAGAUGGAGAACCUGCUGCGCUGCAGCCGCAGCUCCUUCUGCUGCAAGGAGCGCCAGCGCCAGGACUGGAAGAAGCACAAGCUCGUGUGCCAGGGCAGCGAGGGCGCCCUCGGCCACGGAGGGGGCCCUCACCAGGACUCCGGCCCCGCGCCGCCCGCUGCAGCGCCGCCGUCCAGGGACCGGGCCCUGGAGGCCAGGAAGGCAGCGAGGCGCCGGGACAGCGCCUCCGGGGACGCAGCCAAGGCAAAGGCCAAGUCCGCGGCCGACCCCGCGGCGGCCGCGUCCCCGCCUCGCGCGUCCCCGGGCCGGACAAAAGCCAUGGCUGCUUGUUAUCCGGUCAAUGGAACGGGUUAUGUACGUCAUGUUGAUAAUCCAAAUGGAGACGGAAGACGUGUGAAAUGUAUUACAUUACGUUAAAGAACGGGAUGCCAAGCCCUGCCUGAUGUGGCUCUGGGAAUUCCUGCAGAGAAGAGCAGGGGUGGCCAGGAGAUAGUGAGCAGCUCCCAGGAGGCAUGGAGGGAUCCAGAACCUGGACUGAAGAACCACCUAGAAAUAACUCAGCAGAAUUCUGAAAAUGAGGUCACGCUGGAUUUUCCAAUCCAUAGGCCCAAAGUGAACUCCCACGUGGAGUAGGAUGAAAACCCACAGCAUCUAGAUCUUCAAAUUCUGGAGAAAAAGAGAGUGUGAAAGACUGCUCAGUGGCUGGGGUGAGAGUCAAGUCUGGCCAGGUGCUAAUCUGGAGAAAAGCCAAGACCUGGAGCGAGCUGGAGUGGCAGGCCCUGGAGGAUGAGAAGGUGGCAGGAGUGCACUGGGGAUACAAAGAAACCAAGAUUUUUCUGGGAAUUCUCAGAGGCCUGGAUCCACGAAAAACUCCGCACCUGCCAUCGAAACCACCAGGUGUACCGGAUUAUGGCUGAGCAGCUGUGAGAACAUGGCUUCCUGUGGACCCUGGAGCAAUGUUGCUAUCGGUUCAAAAACCUCCUGACCGACUACUGCAAAGCCAGGAGCACCUACACACCAGGCACCAGUGUCUUCUAUGAUGAGAUGGAUGCCCUGUUGAGUCUUGGGGCACUUUCUAACACCUUUGAUGCCUUAGAGGUGGUAGGAGGCCUUCUUUGGGAUUGAGAGGAUUCCAAAGGGAACCAGGGCAUAGCACUAGAAGAUGUGGCGGGAUGGUAAUGAAAUAGUGGAGGAGUCUCAAGAGGAAUCCUGGAGGCUUGGUCCCCAGGCCUUGAGGUGGAAUCCCAGUGGCAACUCUCCCCCACAAUGGACCUCAGAGCAGUGGGAGCGACGCAGUCCUGUGGGAAGCAUUCAGGCUCAGAAUCAGGAGAUGUGAUUAUUGUCCUGGCUCUGUUAUGACUAAUUUGGGUCUGGAAUGGCCUCAUCGGGGGAAAAAUUGGUGACAACUUUAAGAAAUACUGUUUAUAUCCCGUCCUCAAAUAUUGCUUGACUCAACCCUCUACUGAACCAGUAGUCCAGGGUGGCUCACAAAGACCACUUUGAGGCUCUUGCUCUGCUCUUUAGCCAAGGAGUCUCCCUUCCUGCCUUCAGUAACAACAUUACAGGAAGAGAGGAGAGAAAGGUAGGAGUUAAAGAUCCAGUCAUUUGUUUCCAUCUAAAGUGCCCUAUAAGCCGGGCAUGGUGGCGCAAGCCUGUAGUCCCAGCUACUCGGGAGGCUGGGGCAGGAGAAUCACUUGAGCCCAGGAGUUGGAGGCCGCAGUGAGCUGUGAUCAUGCCACUGCAUUCCAGCCUGGGCGACAGAGUGAGACCCAGACUCAGCUGAAAAAUAAUAAUAUUAUUAAAAGAAUUUAAAAUAAAGUGUUCCAUAGAUGUGAACCCUGCGUAGAUUAUACACACCAGUCUGCCAUUUAAAAGGUUUGUUGUUCUUGGGCAACCUCUUUAAAUACCCUUAGCCUCCAUUUUCUCAUCUGGACAGUGGACAUUGUGAUGGUUUCUACCUCCCUGGGCUGUUAUGAGGAUCCUGACACAGUAUUAGCACUUGGCAAACGUUAGUUUUCAUUAUCAUCAUCAUUAUAAUUAUUAUGAAAAUAGAUAAGGGCAUUAUCCUGUACCCUCAAAGGAGUAAAAGGGGGAAAAUGAGUCAUUAAACUUUCUCUUCUGGGAACUAGACCUUCUUGAGAGGCACUAUCAUUCUCAUUUCACCUGUCACUUCCAGACAUGGGAGCAGAAAGUGAAUUUCAGAACUCCAUGUCCCCUCCUGCUUUUCUCUGAGCAGGACUUCCAGUUCCCCAGCCAGAUGGGGUCACAAUGCUGCAGAAAAGUGAAGAGCUUUGGAAUGAAGAUCUCCCGGACUUCAAGGAGAUUCAGAAAACGUCCAGUGCAGGUGGGAAAUGAAUGGGAGCUAGCAUUCCACCAACAAAGUCAGCCCUGGGAUUCUAAACUCGGACAAGCCAGCACUGGUUAAGGGCUGAGGGGAACCAGGCACUCAGUGCACCCAGUUUACUAUUCUGUGGUGUGGAAAGCACAGGACUUGAGAAGCAGGUGGCACCCAGGAAAGCCUGUUCCCCUAAGUAAGUUUGAACUUUAGUUACUUGAAAAAAGGUAUAACUGAAUUAUGAGUGUUUAUGAUUUUAUCUUUAUUUUAUUUUUUUUGAGAUGGAGUCUCACCCUGUCACCCAGGCUGGAAUGCAGUGGCACAAUCUCGGUUCACUGCAGCCUCUACCUCUCAGGUUCAAGCAAUUCUCCUGCCUCACCCUCCUGAGUAGUGGGGAUUACAGGUGUGCCACCACCAUGCCCGUCUCUAAUUUUUAUAUUUUUAGUAGAGACGGGGUUUCACCAUGUUGGCCAGGCUGGUCUUGAACUCCUGACCUCAAGUGAUCCACCCACCUUGGCCCCCCACAAAGUGCUGGGAUUACAGGCGUGAGCCACUGUGCCUGGUCUAUCUUUAAAUUCCUAUCUGAAUUUGUUUAGGUUUUUUAAAUAAAAAUCUUUCUUUUUUUUUAGAGACAGGGGUUCACCAUGGUGCCCAGGCUGAUCUCGAACUCCUCCUGGACUCAAGCUAUCCUCCCACCUCAGCCUCCCAAAGUACUGGGAUUACAGACAUGAGCCACAUGCUUGACCUGAAUUUUAACUGCAGUUAAUUAUCACUUAACCAGCGAAUUCACACAGGAGAAAUCCCCUGGCCGGGCGCGGUGGCUCACACCUGUAAUCCCAGCUCUUCGGGAGGCCGAGGUGGGUAGAUCACAAGGUCAAGAGAUCAAGACCAUUCUGGCCAACAUGGUGAAACUCCGUCUGUACCAAAAAUACAAAAAUUACCUGGGCAUGGUGGUACGUGCCUGUAAUCCCAGCUACUUGGCAGGCUGAGGCAGGAGCAUUGCUUGAACCCAUGAGGUGGAGGUUGCAGUGAGCCGAGAUCACGCCACUGCACUCAAGCCUGGGUGACAGAGCAAGACUCCAUCUCUACUACAAAAAAAAAAAAAAAAAAAAUUCAACCACCUUAGGAAGCCUCUCAUUUAUGUAUUUCUAGCAUGUAAUUAGUGUUGCACAUGGGAAGGGCUAAUAGAUGCUGACAGAGUGAACAACUU